rnacentral:rRNA from 1 species
GACGAACGCUGGCGGCGUGCUUAACACAUGCAAGUCGAACGGAAAGGCCCUGCUUUUGUGGGGUGCUCGAGUGGCGAACGGGUGAGUAACACGUGAGUAACCUGCCCUUGACUUUGUGAUAACUUCAGGAAACUGGGGCUAAUACCGGAUAGGAGCUCCUGCUGCAUGGUGGGGGUUGGAAAGUUUCGGCGGUUGGGGAUGGACUCGCGGCUUAUCAGCUUGUUGGUGGGGUAGUGGCUUACCAAGGCUUUGACGGGUAGCCGGCCUGAGAGGGUGACCGGCCACAUUGGGACUGAGAUACGGCCCAGACUCCUACGGGAGGCAGCAGUGGGGAAUAGUGCACAAUGGGCGGAAGCCUGAUGCAGCAACGCCGCGUGCGGGAUGACGGCCUUCGGGUUGUAAACCGCUUUCGCCUGUGACGAAGCGUGAGUGACGGUAAUGGGUAAAGAAGCACCGGCUAACUACGUG